GGCAAGACAACCGGGUGGAUGCCAUGGGAAUUGCUUCACAUCAGGUGAAUCCCAAAUGCAGUGAGAAGACACAAUCAGCCCAGCUGCCUUUCUGAGGGGAAAAGCACAUACCAGACAGCCAGAGAGAUAAAACCAGAAUGGCUGUACUUUCUGAAUUAAUUGAUUCUCGCCCAGUAUUGGAAGGAGAGCUGUAAUAGAAGUACAGAGGGAAAUAAAGCACGAGAAAUCUUACCAGUUCCCUGACACCAUAUUGUUUCUCCACCUUGGCCUUUAAGUGCCUGAAACACUCCUCCAUGCGUUCAUGGAAAGGACGAAGGCUGUCUGAAACUCUCCUCUCAUGAAUCUUAAUUCCAGCUCCCAAAAAUGGAAUCUGGGAAGGCACAACAAGAAAACACUUUAAGUUGUAUCCCACAUUUCGACAAAAUGACAAGAUGAUUGCAGAAAUAAACCUGC